UAAGGAAUAUUGGUCAAUGGAGGCAACUCUGAACCAGCCAUGCCGCGUGAAGGAUGAAGGCCCUAUGGGUUGUAAACUUCUUUUAUACGGGAAGAAACCUCCGCACGUGUGCGGAGCUGACGGUACUGUAAGAAUAAGGAUCGGCUAACUCCGUGCCAGCAGCCGCGGUAAUACGGAGGAUCCAAGCGUUAUCCGGAUUUAUUGGGUUUAAAGGGUGCGUAGGCGGAAUAGUAAGUCAGUGGUGAAAGCC
rnacentral:rRNA from 1 species